rnacentral:rRNA from 1 species
AUGGCCGGGAAGGGAGGCAAGGGGCUGCUUGCGGCGAAGACGACGGCGGCCAAGGGCGCCGCCGACAAGGACAAGGACAAGAAGAAGGCGCCUGUGUCCCGCUCCUCCCGCGCCGGGAUUCAGUUCCCGGUGGGCCGUAUACACAGGCAGCUCAAGCAGAGGGUCUCGGCUAAUGGCCGUGUGGGUGCCACUGCCGCUGUGUACUCUGCAGCAAUCCUUGAGUACCUUACUGCUGAGGUCCUUGAGCUGGCCGGCAACGCCAGCAAGGAUCUCAAGGUGAAGCGUAUCACCCCUCGCCACCUGCAGCUUGCGAUCCGUGGAGAUGAGGAGCUGGACACCCUCAUCAAGGGCACCAUCGCUGGUGGUGGUGUCAUCCCUCACAUCCACAAGUCCCUCAUCAACAAGACCUCCAAGGAGUGA